UCUAUACUAUGUGAAUCAUCGAAUCUUUGAACGCACUUUGCACCUUGCGGCUUUUGUCACAAGGUAUACUUGUUUGAGUAUCCGAAACUACCUCACCUCCCCUUCGGGGCGAAGUGGACUUGAGAUUCGAUAACUAAGCCCUUACCGGUGGAAGGAGUCGUUUCUUUAAAUGUGGUGGUCGCUUGUGGGAGGUCUCCGUCUGGAGCCUGACAGACUAUUGGGAUAACAUCCUGACGAUCGUUUGUCGGCUCAUCAAAACUUAGACGUUGACUAACCUUGGCCAACCUUGAAGGCAGCCUUAUCAAAUGGGAUUUGCCUUCACGUAGAUCAUGACUUAACCGUCAUGUGACACAGUAUAAAUGGAUCUCAAAUCAAGUAAGGAUACCCGCUGAACUUAAGCAUAUCAAUAAGCGGAGG
rnacentral:rRNA from 1 species